ensembl:lncRNA
UUUCAUUAUUUCCUUUACAAUUAUCAAAUCAACUCCGCUUCCGAGGGAGGGCACUUCGCUUAACUCGGGCAGCGCCGCGCCCCGCCCGCCGCCGCUCCGUCUCCGGGCACCGGGCGGCCUCCAAACCCCUCCUGGGGGGAGGAAGGGGGUAGAAGCAAUAAAAGAAAAAAAAAGAAAAGAAAAGGGAAAAAAAGAAAAAAAAAAGAAAAAGAGGAAAAAAAAUCCCACCGCCUGCGCUCGGUACACACGCACCUACUCGGCCGAUGGCGGAGCAAAUGAAAGUUUCAUUAUUUUUGGCCCCCCAAAAAUGCCCCUCGAAGCUCUCGGAAAGAGCGGAGGGCACCGAUUCGUCCCUCGGCUCCGUCCGCACAGCGCUCCCCCCGCCCCGCGUUGUGCCGCUGCUCCGCGUCCCGGAGCGCUUCCCGGAGCCCUUCCGCGGUGUCUGCGCGGAGCGGACGCGCCCCAGGUACGGCGCUGACAUUGAUGUCACCGCAUUAGAGUUAAUGGCAGCAGCCUGCUCCUCAUUAUUAAUUGUCUUUGUGUUUGGAUAAAGUAUGUAAUCUUCUCCUCAACCACACCAUUAAAAUAGGUUGCCUUUUCAAUUAAGAACUGUCUUGAGCGCAGCAGUCAAUUUUCCUAAUGAAGAUGCAUUAUAUUUUCACUUUUUUUUUUUUUUCCUUUCUUUUUAAUAAUGGGAAAAUCCCACGUUUUCAUUAGGCGUGAUUAGGGAGAAAGUAAGAGAGGCGGUUUGGCUGAACUCGAUGCGGCCCGUGCGGUGUAUUAAGCGCUUUUAAAUAAAUUGCAAUUUCCUAGAGCCGAGGAGCGGGUUGGGGUACACAUACGGCCGCGUUCGCUUCCUUCAGAUUAAUAAAAUGCGGAGCCCUUUCUUUAAAGCGCACUCAUCAGAUGGAAAAUAGUGAUUAAACCAACUCCAGCCCACUCUUAGCCGCAAUUACUCGGGUAAACUUUUCGCCCAGCCCCGCUCGCUUCGCAUUAAACCUGAGGAUGAUGCUCUGCGAUAGACUUGCUGCUAAUGUGCGGCUUUGGGGAGCAAAUAGCGCGGUUUAAUCACGCAGAAACGCAUCGGGAUGGGCUCGGCAUUAAUUUCCCCAAAUAAACGCGCAUUGUUUCAUACGGAGCUCCCACCGGAGAACGGCAGCCCCGGGGCUUUGGAAAGGAGGAAGGUUUGGGGGGACUCGGAGGGGUAAAAAGACGCUGGAAAAAAAACCAGAAAUUGCACAGCGUGGAAGCAAAGGGUUAAAUUUUACAUGAUGGAAAACACUUAAAAAAAAUCAACCAAAGAAAUGAAAAGAGAAGGAGAAAAGAAAGGGAGGGGGGGAAGAAAAGAGGGGGGGAGAAAAAAAGCGCUACGGGAAAAAAGAAAGUGCGGUGUUUGCGCGCUGCGGGGGGACGGGCGUGGGUAGCAGCGCGGUGCUGCGCUCUGGGACCUUUGUUAGGGACAAACGGAGAGGAGGGGAACCCAUCGGCACCGACCGCUUCGGGAAGGGGAAAAAAACCCAUCACUGCGCCCUUCGGUUUUCAAGUUUGGCGAACCAACAGCACCGCUGCCUGCAGAGGGGAACGGAGUUGGGCUUAAGGCAGCCAGCGGCUAAAGAAGAUCUGCAAAGAGUGGCAAAGAAGAUUUUCGAUUAAAAGCUGAGCCCCAUCUCCCCGGAUUACUUUAUAUCGAUUUUUAUAUAUACGGCUGCGAUUGAUGGGCUCUAAUUAAAAAUCCAAAGCAGCGAUCAGCCCCGGCGGGCAAAGACACGCGGCGAUAACACCACUUCGGAACGGUCGCGUUAGGCAGAAGGGUCGGAAAUUACAGCGGGGGAAGGAGAGCAGAGAGGGGAAAGAGAGGGGAGAAAGAGCGCUACGAGAGAGCGAAGGGAUGGAGCCGAACCCGACUGGCAUCGGAAGUUGAGGAACUUACUGAGCAGCAGAAGUUACAGUUCCUUUCCAUCCCGGGAGCUGAUCUGGGGGUUCUCUGAGCACAAAAGUCGCUCCCCGUUGAGCCCGAGUUAGUGCGGCUCUGUAUACCUGCCCGGAGCUGCUAUCCGAACGGAGCGCAGGAGGUCGGAAAGGGGUUUGGUCGCAUUGGCUGUUUUGUUUGGUUGUUUUUGUUGGUUUUUUUUUCUUUUUCCCUUCCUUAAAAAAUAAUUAAAAAUAAAAUAGUAAUUAAAAAAAAAAAACAGUUCCUACGGCUGCCACUUUUUUUUUUCUUUUUUUUUUUUUUGCUUGUUUGGGGGCAACUUUUCCUGAGGCUGAAGGCGGAAUGCGGCUGCAAAGUGCGUGUAGGAUCGCUCCGGGAUGAAGGCUUCCCCCUAUUUUUCCCCCUCUCCGAUCCGAUCUUUGCGAGAGCCAUUCCGACACAUCGCUAAGCUAAAGGGAAAUUCUCUUUGAUAAAGCGGUGUUCCCAGCUUCUGGGUUUUAAAACCUAAAUCUAUAUUCAAAUCUGGCUGAAGGUGUGUUCUGGGAUUUAUGAAAGCCUCUUAAAGGGGUAAAUUUACCAAACCGUGACAAAAUCAUCACAAUCUUACUUUAGACAUCUGAAGUGGAUGGGAAUUUUAAAGAGACCCCUCGUUGCUUUCGGUCGCACCGUCCAUCCCCACCGCUCGCUCCAUUGGCCGCGGGGUCGGUCCCAACUUUGGGGCCGGGGCGGGCAGCGCUGUGCCCGCGGGCGGCCGCCCCACGGCGCUCGGGUGGACGCAGGGAUGAUGCUCCCAUCUCCCCGUUCCAUUCCCAAGCAUUGAAUUUUCUUUC